GAGGAGAUAGCUCAGUGGUAGAGCACGUGCUUAGCAUGCACUAGGUCCUGAGUUCCAUCCCCAGUACCUCU
rnacentral:tRNA from 1 species